UUCGCGUUUUAAACGCCCACACGAGUAAUCAAAUAUUAAUAAACAACAUUUAGUUAUGUAAAAUUAUUGGUAUGUAAUUUUCUAGUGUAUGCAAAUGCAUACAUAAGAUCACUGCAAUUAAAAAGUAAUUAAUAAUAUUUUAUUAAGUUACUCUCAAAAAAAUAAUUAAGAAACCUUUUUU
rnacentral:misc_RNA from 1 species